rnacentral:lncRNA from 1 species
UGGGUUCAGUGCAGCAGGACAGCCGGACCCCUGCCCCAGGCUCUCAGCAGGACAGCCGGACCCCUGCCCCAGGCUCUCAGCAGGACAGCCGGACCCCUGCCCCAGGCUCUCAGCAGGACAGCCGGACCCCUGCCCCAGGCUCUCAGCAGGACAGCCGGACCCCUGCCCCAGGCUCUCAGCAGGACAGCCGGACCCCUGCCCCAGGCUCUCAGCAGGACAGCCGGACCCCUGCCCCAGGCUCUCAGCAGGACAGCCGGACCCCUGCCCCAGGCUCUCAGCAGGACAGCCGGACCCCUGCCCCAGGCUCUCAGCAGGACAGCCGGACCCCUGCCCCAGGCUCUCAGCAGGACAGCCGGACCCCUGCCCCAGGUACUCAGCAGGACAGCCGGACCCCUGCCCCAGGCUCUCAGCAGGACAGCCGGACCCCUGCCCCAGGCUCUCAGCAGGACAGCCGGACCCCUGCCCCAGGCUCUCAGCAGGACAGCCGGACCCCUGCCCCAGGCUCUCAGCAGGACAGCCGGACCCCUGCCCCAGGUACUCAGCAGGACAGCCAGACCCGCCCCAGGCUCUCAGCAGGACAGCCGGACCCCUGCCCCAGGCUCUCAGCAGGACAGCCGGACCCCUGCCCCAGGUACUCAGCAGGACAGCCGGACCCCUGCCCCAGGCUCUCAGCAGGACAGCCGGACCCCUGCCCCAGGCUCUCAGCAGGACAGCCGGACCCCUGCCCCAGGCUCUCAGCAGGACAGCCGGACCCCUGCCCCAGGUACUCAGCAGGACAGCCGGACCCCUGCCCCAGGCUCUCAGCAGGACAGCCGGACCCCUGCCCCAGGCUCUCAGCAGGACAGCCGGACCCCUGCCCCAGGCUCUCAGCAGGACAGCCGGACCCCUGCCCCAGGCUCUCAGCAGGACAGCCGGACCCCUGCCCCAGGCUCUCAGCAGGACAGCCGGACCCCUGCCCCAGGCUCUCAGCAGGACAGCCGGACCCCUUGCCCCAGGCUCUCAGCAGGACAGCCGGACCCCUGCCCCAGGUACUCAGCAGGACAGCCGGACCCCUACCCCAGGUACUCAGCAGGACAGCCGGACCCCUUGCCCCAGGCUCUCAGCAGGACAGCCGGACCCCUGCCCCAGGUACUCAGCAGGACAGCCGGACCCCUGCCCCAGGCUCUCAGCAGGACAGCCAGACCCCUGCCCCAGGCUCUCAGCAGGACAGCCGGACCCCUGCCCCAGGCUCUCAGCUGGACAGCCGGACCCCCUGCCCCAGGCUCUCAGCAGGACAGCCGGACCCCUGCCCCAGGUACUCAGCAGGACAGCCGGACCCCUGCCCCAGGCUCUCAGCAGGACAGCCGGACCCCUGCCCCAGGCUCUCAGCAGGACAGCCGGACCCCUGCCCCAGGCUCUCAGCAGGACAGCCGGACCCCUGCCCCAGGUACUCAGCAGGACAGCCGGACCCCUGCCCCAGGUACUCAGCAGGACAGCCGGACCCCUUGCCCCAGGCUCUCAGCAGGACAGCCGGACCCCUGCCCCAGGUACUCAGCAGGACAGCCGGACCCCUUGCCCCAGGCUCUCAGCAGGACAGCCGGACCCCCUGCCCCAGGCUCUCAGCAGGACAGCCGGACCCCUGCCCCAGGCUCUCAGCUGGACAGCCAGACCCGCCCCAGGCUCUCAGCUGGCGGUCAAGGUCUCCUGCUUUACUGAUAAACUUGUCUCCAGGGACCCACACCCCCUGCCCAAGGGCUCUUGAUCCUGGGCAGACUUAGAAGCAGUGCAGGGCCUCAGUGUGGGCCCUGAGCCUCGGGCUCUAAAGGGUGAAUGGCACGUUCACACCAUCGUCUUUCCUGGAAACGACAGCGCCUGCCAUUCAGGACAUUACCCAGCCCCCGGCCUGAUAGCCCAUGACUCUCCGGUUCAUAACACAAAAUCACACUUUUCAUCAAGAAGCUUGUAUUCUCCAGAUAAUUCAAGAAUCCACACAGCAAAUCCAGCACAGACUGUUUGCUUCCCAACACCCAGACACAUGUGCCUGCAAAUUCCUGAUGUUACGAAGACCUGCCCCGGAGAGGGGAGGCAUCGCCCCAGGUAACCCCAGGCCACAACCCACAUCCCACACCCCAGACGACCCCGGGACAUCGACAGUCCACACCCUAGACAACCCCGAGGCACUGAAAACCCACACCCACACCCGAAAUAACCCUGGGACACUGACAACCCACACCCCAGACAAUCCCAGACAACCCCGGGACACUGACAACCCACUCCCCAAAUAACCCUAGGCAACCCCAGUAUGCUGACAACCCACACCCCAGACAACUCCAGGAGACUGACAACCCACACCCCAGCUGACCCCGCAUCCUGGCUGUGAUGGGGCUGCCAUCCACACCGCCUGCUCCAAGGGCUCUGCUGCUCCGGGUUGGACCUGCACGGUUCUGGGUCACUGCAGGACUUGGGACAAGUGACUCAGUUCCCCAUUGAGCAGGACAGCAUCCCAGCCGCCCUGGGUUACUGUGAUAUCAGGAGUCAGUGGCCAACGUUUCCUGAGCCCUCUUUCUGAGGCCAGACGCCAGCAUGGAGGCUGCAGCGAGUCCCUUCCCUCAUCUGCACGAGGCUUGGGGACCCCAUGGCCACCUGGCCCAGGUGUGGGCACCGAGGUGGGGCUGUGGGGUGAGCUCCCGGGUGGCCCAUGGCUGGCAGUCGGCCGUCCUGAGGGGACUCUAGGUACGACACGAGGUCCUCCAGCCACAGGCAUCAGCUUCCCCUCUCGGACACAGGCCAGCAAAGACAAUCGCCGGAUGUCUGAGUACCCCCUCUCCUUCCAAAACAAACAGAAAACCCGUCCACAGCAUCUGUCGACCAAAAGAAGAACCGCCAGAGUCCAGGGAAGCAGCUUGCCGGGAACCUGCCAGGUUUGCAUCGAAUUCCCCGAGUUCCGGAAACCCCGUCCGUCCCAGGCAAACAGGCACCGUGGGUCACCCUUCCGGGACCCACAUUCGCGCCAGGCCUAGGUGGAGGCCUUGGCCCUGGGAAGGAAGGCUGACCAGAAGCCUCGGCACCCUGCCCCCGCGGCCACGUGUGGACGCAGAGGCCUCUUGGGCGGUGAAAGGCUGCUCCUGAAGGCGUUUCUGGUUUUUCCAUUUAUAAAGCAGAGUGAGGUUAUAAAUCAGAAAAGUGUUUACAGGAGACACACAGCUGGCAAUAACAGCUUUGAGGGGCCACUGCGUCUCUGUGACUAUUUCAUCUUCCACGCCAACUUAAACAUGAGAAAAAAAGGCUUUGCAGCCCAGGGCCCCGCUGCACGGCCCAGCAGAUCGAGAGCAUUUGCAAUAAUUCAUAGACUUCUCACUUUCAUUUUUCUGCCGCCCAGGAAUUACAUUCCACUAUUAAAAUGCGCUGGGACUGCCUGGCCCGGCCGCUCCUGCGUGUUCAGACACAGGUCGGGCGAGGACCCUGUGCGGCCCCAAGCGGACCCUGCUGCGGCUCCGGGGCCGGGCGCUUGCCCCCUGCUGGACACACGGUGCACUGCAGGCAGCCCAGAGGGCCCUCCCCGCUCUGCGGGUGAGAAAAUCCCGAGACAGGCGGGUUUCCUCUGAGAUGGCCACGGUUCCAGGUGAGAAAGCAGGCGGGAGGGAAGAAGCUGGCGUCCAGGCCCCUGUGCAGUCACAUCUGGUCCUCUGCGGCCCGUUCCUGUUCUUGGGAUGCUGGCGGGGGCACUGCCCCAGCUCAGGGGCACAGAAGACCCAGAUGGGUGCAGGCAGGAAGGCCAGCUUGGUCGGGGUGGUGGGGGGGGCCUGGGCCAAGGCCAGAGCCGGGACAGCCCCCAGGUGUGGUCGGGCCUGGACCUUCCCUACUGCAGACCCAGUGGGUCCCACUCGCCUUCAGUCGAGGCUUUGUCACCUCAGGGCAAGUUGAGGGCAGAGCUGGGACUCCCCAGAUACUGCCUGAUCUGCUCUCACUGACCCAGCCCCAGAGCCCCAGGCAGGAGGGAUGGGCAGGGCCUGAGGGACAGGUCUCUGUGGUCCUCAGAGCCUCACCCAUUCACAGUCAGGCAUGGGGCCAGAGAAGGCCGUGCUUCAGUGGGACCACCCACUGAAGGCCGAAGGCCGGUGCCAGCCGUCCCCACAACAGGACCCGGAGGCCUCUCUGCCCCAUCCUCCAGAUCCAGCCUCUAGUGUGCACAAGCUGAGAGGGGAUGCUGAGGGCAAGAAGGAGCGGGACUUGGGUGUCCUGUCCCACACGCCCCCGAGGGGCUGGCAGGGGAGGAUGGGGCAAGAUGGUGGAGCUUGUCAGGGGAGAUGGGGAGCACAUUUCAGCAGCUGUGCUCUUCUGGGACAGCACAAACUGUCGGGGAGAAGAGUGAUGGCCGGCAAUGCCCCUGGGCAGCGAGGGGUCCCGAGUCCAGGGGCUCAAAUGCUUCGGGGCACGGUGACAAUGCCACCUCCUCCAGGAAGUCUCCCCAGACUGCACUGCCCAGUGGUGACUCUGAGCUGACUGCACCUCCCCUGAACUCCCGCCCUAGGAGCAGCCACUCUCCGGCUGCAUGACUCUCUAAGACUCGGGAGGUUUGGGGCGCAGUCCCAGAGGUUUUUCAGGAAACAGCCACUAAAUGGAUGAAUGAAUGAUGAAACCUGCUGCUCAAGGGCUGCAGACCUGGGCUCUCCCUGCACUGCCCGGGCCCUCAGGGCUGCACCACCCAGGCUGGGUCGGGCCACACACCCCAAAAGGGCCCUGCCAAAGCCCUCCCACCCCAGAAACAGAAGAAGGGGCCGGCGGCCACCCCUGGGCCCAGCCCCGGCCUCCCCUUGUAUGCCCCCAGCCCCCCACCAAUGCCCUCCCCUGCCCCUGGUGGGUCAGAGAUCUCCUGGAGGCUACAGGGAGCAAAGGCGAUGCCCGCAGGUGGCGAGCGUGUUCUCAGGAGCAGGUGGGCAGGGGCCUUGCAGACUCUUCAUUUCUUCCUUCCCUUAUCACCGUUAGCCAUUUUCAUGGGAUAGAGAUACAGAGGAGCUCCCAUUACAAAGCGCCAUUAAACUGUCGUCUGUGCAACUGUGUGUGAAGAGGCAUCGGAUAACGGUCAGGGCUGUGCACGCCUGAGUUGCUGGCCCUGCACCCGGCCCAGCACUCCUAGAGAGAGGCCUCACCUAGAGAGACAGGCCUUCUUCGGCACCCAGCACCACUGCCCACCCCAGCCUGCCCCCCUAAAUGACACUCACUGCCUGGGCAGGACAGCCCCGGGGCCCAGCACACCAGGAGGGCUCCGAACCCGGCCAAAGGUGGUGGGAAGACAGAGGAACCGUGAAGAACAGAUGAUAGUACAGGCUGGGGAGAGGGGGCUGGUGUCCCCAGAGGCAGGGCCACCCCCCCAACA